rnacentral:rRNA from 1 species
UCCCCUKGACCGGCACAGAGAUGUGCCCUCUCCUUCGGGAGCAAGGGUGACAGGUGGUGCAUGGUUGUCUUCAGCUCGUGUCGUGAGAUGUUGGGUUAAGUCCCGCAACGAGCGCAACCCUUAUCCUUAGUUGCCAGCAGGUAAAGCUGGGCACUCUAAGGAGACUGCCGAUGAUAAAUCGGAGGAAGGUGGGGAUGACGUCAAAUCAUCAUGCCCCUUAUGUCUUGGGCUACACACGUGCUACAAUGGUCGGUACAAAGGGCAGCGAAGGAGUGAUCUGGAGCAAAUCCCAAUAAACCGAUCCCAGUUCGGAUUGUAGGCUGCAACUCGCCUACAUGAAGUCGGAGUUGCUAGUAAUCGCGAAUCAGAACGUCGCGGUGAAUGCGUUCCCGGGUCUUGUACACACCGCCCGUCACACCAUGGAAGUUGGUAAUACCCAAAGUCGCUGAGCUAACCGCAAGGGGGCAGGCGCCUAAGGUAGGAUCAAUGACUGGGGUGAAGUCGUAACAAGGUAACC